AUUGAACGCUGGCGGCAUGCUUUACACAUGCAAGUCGAACGGCAGCACGGGGGCUUGCUCCUGGUGGCGAGUGGCGAACGGGUGAGUAAUGCAUCGGAACGUACCCAGUAGUGGGGGAUAGCCCGGCGAAAGCCGGAUUAAUACCGCAUAUUUCCUGAGGGAGAAAGCGGGGGACCUUCGGGCCUCGCGCUACUGGAGCGGCUGAUGUCGGAUUAGCUAGUUGGUGAGGUAAAGGCUCACCAAGGCGACGAUCCGUAGCUGGUCUGAGAGGAUGAUCAGCCACACUGGGACUGAGACACGGCCCAGACUCCUACGGGAGGCAGCAGUGGGGAAUUUUGGACAAUGGGGGCAACCCUGAUCCAGCCAUGCCGCGUGAGUGAAGAAGGCCUCGGUUGUAAGACUCUUCUAGGUGGAAGAAAGUACACUACCCGAACUAACGGUGGUGGAGUGACGGUACC
rnacentral:rRNA from 1 species